AUGUGUAAGUAUAAUUUCCUUCUAUGUAAAGAUCUGAUGAAACCUGAAGAGUUCUUGGCUCUGUUCAGGUGGCCUCCGACACCCGGGUCUCCUGCGCAGCAGCUAUCUCCUACAGACGAGCCAGGCAGCACCGACGCACGUCGACGUGACCGCGCUGCCGUGGCCCAGCAGCCACCCGACCUCGCACACCACGUCGCUGUCGUCGCCGUCGCCGUCGCCGCCGCUCACCUUGAGCGAGCUCCACAGCUGCUUCGGCAGCAGCGUCACGACGCCGGCACCGUCCCUCGCCGUCCUCCGCGGCUCGUGGUCCGGCUCCAGCCCCGCGAACUUGCCCUGCACACCAGACAUGUCAGUGUCACGCACGGCUAUCUUCUUCGAUGGACUGUGCGGUACGUGCUGCAGGAGGAUGCUCACCGUCACGGGGUCCAGCGCGCCGGAGAACCUGGCGGCGCUCUCCCACUGCCCGACCACCUCGGACGCGGGGAGCCUCUCCCCGGCGGCGAAGGCGGACUCGCGGAGCGCGCAGCCGCCGAGCUGGUCGCCGUUGCGGUACGGGCCGUACCACUGCUCGGAGAACACCUUGACGCCGCGCAGCCGCGCCGCGUCCUUGGCCAGCGCCACCGUCUGCACCAGCCUGACCCGCACCUCCGCGUUGUCCGGGUGGCAGAUGCAGUGCUCCACCUCGAGCACGGCCGAGGGGCCCUUGGGCCACGUGGCCACGUAGGAGCCCCCGGCGCCGCCGUAGGCGAAGGCGGUGGCGGAGGAGACGUGGCGCUGGUGGGAGGUGUGCACGGUGGCGGCGUCGGCCUCGCAGCCGACGGUGGGGAGGAGGCGGACGAGGCGAUAGUGGAGCGCGCCCGGCGCGGCGGGGUCGGCCAGGGUGGGGCACUGCGUCUGCCAGUCGAACACCUGGACCCCCCACUCACGGUACGCGUCCGGGACCACGUUGGCCGGCAGCUCCACCGGGUCGCCGGCCACCGUGAAGUCCGCGCCGAAGCCGUCCCACUCGCCGGACACCCGCGCCGCGAACUCCUCCCACUUAUCUGCGCAAGCACGGACAAGUUUCAGUGUGCAGUUCAGUCGUGGCAUGGCAUGGCGUAA
rnacentral:rRNA from 1 species